rnacentral:rRNA from 1 species
CCGCCGGCGACCGGCGCACGGGUGAGUAACACGUAUGCAACCUGGCCGUGACAGAUGGAUAACCGGGAGAAAUCCCGCCUAAUACAACAUAAUGCCGGAGGGGGACAUCCCCUGCCGGCCAAAGGGGGCGACCCCGGUCACGGAUGGGCAUGCGGCGCAUUAGGUAGUUGGUGGGGCAACGGCCCACCAAGCCGACGAUGCGUAGGGGUUCUGAGAGGAAGGUCCCCCACAUUGGAACUGAGACACGGUCCAAACUCCUACGGAAGGCAGCAG